CUGACAGAAUCUGCUUACAA
rnacentral:piRNA from 1 species